rnacentral:rRNA from 1 species
UACGUAGGGUGCAAGCGUUGUCCGGAUUUAUUGGGUUUAAAGGGUGCGUAGGCGGUGGAUUAAGUCAGUGGUGAAAGACGAUCGCUCAACGAUUGCAGUGCCAUUGAUACUGGUUCACUUGAGUAGUGCAGAGGUGGCCGGAAUUGAUCGUGUAGCGGUGAAAUGCAUAGAUAUGAUCAAGAACGCCGAUUGCGAAGGCAGGUCACUGGACACUUACUGACGCUGAGGCACGAAAGUGUGGGGAUCAAACAGG